rnacentral:rRNA from 1 species
GGCAGCAGCUAAGAAUAUUCCACAAUGGACGGAAGUCUGAUGGAGCGACGCCGCGUGCGCGAUGAAGGCCGUGAGGUUGUAAAGCGCUUUUCUUGAGGGGGAACAACACAUUCAGGGAAUGGGAUGUGGAUGACGUGAAUCGAGGAAUAGGCCCCGGCUAACUACGUGCCAGCAGCCGCGGUAACACGUAGGGGGCGAGCGUUGUUCGGAAUCAUUGGGCGUAAAGGGCGCGCAGGCGGCCCGGUAAGUCUGGUGUAAAAUGGUCGUGCUCAACACGAUCAUGCGCUGGAAACUGUCGGGCUAGAGUCAACGAGGGGAUGCCGGAAUUCCAGGUGUAGGGGUGAAAUCUGUAGAUAUCUGGAAGAACACCGAUGGCGAAGGCAGGCAUCUGGCGACUGACUGACGCUGAGGCGCGAAGGUGCGGGGAGCAAACAGGUUUAGAUACCCUGGUAGUCCGCACAGUAAACGAUGUGCACCAGGUGGCGGGCAGCAGUGCUCGGUACCGAAGCAAACGCAUUAAGUGCACCGCCUGGGGAGUAUGCCCGCAAGGGUGAAACUCAAAGGAAUUGACGG